GGGUUGUGAGGUUAAGCGACUAAGCGUACACGGUGGAUGCCCUGGCAGUCAGAGGCGAUGAAGGGCGUGCUAAUCUGCGAUAAGCGCCGGUAAGGUGAUAUGAACCGUUAUAACCGGCGAUACCCGAAUGGGGAAACCCAGUGUGACUCGUCACACUAUCAUUAACUGAAUCCAUAGGUUAAUGAGGCGAACCGGGGGAACUGAAACAUCUAAGUACCCCGAGGAAAAGAAAUCAACCGAGAUUCCCCCAGUAGCGGCGAGCGAACGGGGAGGAGCCCAGAGCCUGAAUCAGCAUGUGUGUUAGUGGAAGCGUCUGGAAAGGCGCGCGAUACAGGGUGACAGCCCCGUACACAAAAGCGCAUGUGCUGUGAGCUCGAUGAGUAGGGCGGGACACGUGGUAUCCUGUCUGAAUAUGGGGGGACCAUCCUCCAAGGCUAAAUACUCCUGACUGACCGAUAGUGAACCAGUACCGUGAGGGAAAGGCGAAAAGAACCCCGGCGAGGGGAGUGAAAAAGAACCUGAAACCGUGUACGUACAAGCAGUGGGAGCCUUUGGGUGUGACUGCGUACCUUUUGUAUAAUGGGUCAGCGACUUAUAUUCUGUAGCAAGGUUAACCGAAUAGGGGAGCCGGAGGGAAACCGAGUCUUAAUUGGGCGUUAAGUUGCAGGGUAUAGACCCGAAACCCGGUGAUCUAGCCAUGGGCAGGUUGAAGGUUGGGUAACACUAACUGGAGGACCGAACCGACUAAUGUUGAAAAAUUAGCGGAUGACCUGUGGCUGGGGGUGAAAGGCCAAUCAAACCGGGAGAUAGCUGGUUCUCCCCGAAAGCUAUUUAGGUAGCGCCUCGUGAAUUCAUCUCCGGGGGUAGAGCACUGUUUCGGCUAGGGGGCCAUCCCGGCUUACCAACCCGAUGCAAACUGCGAAUACCGGAGAAUGUUAUCACGGGAGACACACGGCGGGUGCUAACGUCCGUCGUGAAGAGGGAAACAACCCAGACCGCCAGCUAAGGUCCCAAAGUCAUGGUUAAGUGGGAAACGAUGUGGGAAGGCCCAGACAGCCAGGAUGUUGGCUUAGAAGCAGCCAUCAUUUAAAGAAAGCGUAAUAGCUCACUGGUCGAGUCGGCCUGCGCGGAAGAUGUAACGGGGCUAAACCAUGCACCGAAGCUGCGGCAGCGACACUGUGUGUUGUUGGGUAGGGGAGCGUUCUGUAAGCCUGUGAAGGUGUGUCGUGAGGCAUGCUGGAGGUAUCAGAAGUGCGAAUGCUGACAUAAGUAACGAUAAAGCGGGUGAAAAGCCCGCUCGCCGGAAGACCAAGGGUUCCUGUCCAACGUUAAUCGGGGCAGGGUGAGUCGACCCCUAAGGCGAGGCCGAAAGGCGUAGUCGAUGGGAAACGGGUUAAUAUUCCCGUACUUGGUGUUACUGCGAAGGGGGGACGGAGAAGGCUAUGUUGGCCGGGCGACGGUUGUCCCGGUUUAAGCGUGUAGGUGUGUGUUCCAGGUAAAUCCGGUUCACUUUAACACUGAGGCGUGACGACGAGGCACUACGGUGCUGAAGCAACAAAUGCCCUGCUUCCAGGAAAAGCCUCUAAGCAUCAGGUAACAUCAAAUCGUACCCCAAACCGACACAGGUGGUCAGGUAGAGAAUACCAAGGCGCUUGAGAGAACUCGGGUGAAGGAACUAGGCAAAAUGGUGCCGUAACUUCGGGAGAAGGCACGCUGACACGUAGGUGAAGUGAUUUACUCAUGGAGCUGAAGUCAGUCGAAGAUACCAGCUGGCUGCAACUGUUUAUUAAAAACACAGCACUGUGCAAACACGAAAGUGGACGUAUACGGUGUGACGCCUGCCCGGUGCCGGAAGGUUAAUUGAUGGGGUCAGCGCAAGCGAAGCUCCUGAUCGAAGCCCCGGUAAACGGCGGCCGUAACUAUAACGGUCCUAAGGUAGCGAAAUUCCUUGUCGGGUAAGUUCCGACCUGCACGAAUGGCGUAAUGAUGGCCAGGCUGUCUCCACCCGAGACUCAGUGAAAUUGAACUCGCUGUGAAGAUGCAGUGUACCCGCGGCAAGACGGAAAGACCCCGUGAACCUUUACUAUAGCUUGACACUGAACAUUGAGCCUUGAUGUGUAGGAUAGGUGGGAGGCUUUGAAGUGUGGACGCCAGUCUGCAUGGAGCCGACCUUGAAAUACCACCCUUUAAUGUUUGAUGUUCUAACGUGGACCCGUUACCCGGGUUGCGGACAGUGUCUGGUGGGUAGUUUGACUGGGGCGGUCUCCUCCUAAAGAGUAACGGAGGAGCACGAAGGUUGGCUAAUCCUGGUCGGACAUCAGGAGGUUAGUGCAAUGGCAUAAGCCAGCUUGACUGCGAGCGUGACGGCGCGAGCAGGUGCGAAAGCAGGUCAUAGUGAUCCGGUGGUUCUGAAUGGAAGGGCCAUCGCUCAACGGAUAAAAGGUACUCCGGGGAUAACAGGCUGAUACCGCCCAAGAGUUCAUAUCGACGGCGGUGUUUGGCACCUCGAUGUCGGCUCAUCACAUCCUGGGGCUGAAGUAGGUCCCAAGGGUAUGGCUGUUCGCCAUUUAAAGUGGUACGCGAGCUGGGUUUAGAACGUCGUGAGACAGUUCGGUCCCUAUCUGCCGUGGGCGCUGGAGAACUGAGGGGGGCUGCUCCUAGUACGAGAGGACCGGAGUGGACGCAUCACUGGUGUUCGGGUUGUCAUGCCAAUGGCACUGCCCGGUAGCUAAAUGCGGAAGAGAUAAGUGCUGAAAGCAUCUAAGCACGAAACUUGCCCCGAGAUGAGUUCUCCCUGAGACUUUAGGUCUCCUGAAGGAACGUUGAAGACGACGACGUUGAUAGGCCGGGUGUGUAAGCGCAGCGAUGCGUUGAGCUAACCGGUACUAAUGAACCGUGAGGCUUAACCUUACAACGCCGAAG
rnacentral:rRNA from 1 species